rnacentral:rRNA from 1 species
UAGCUAGUUGGUGAGGUAAAGGCUUACCAAGGCGACGAUCUGUAGCGGGUCUGAGAGGAUGAUCCGCCACACUGGAACUGAGACACGGUCCAGACUCCUACGGGAGGCAGCAGUGGGGAAUUUUGGACAAUGGGGGCAACCCUGAUCCAGCCAUGCCGCGUGAGUGAAGAAGGCCUUCGGGUUGUAAAGCUCUUUCGGCCGGGAAGAAAUCGCAUGGGCCAAUACCCUGUGUGGAUGACGGUACCGGAAUAAGAAGCACCGGCUAACUACGUGCCAGCAGCCGCGGUAAUACGUAGGGUGCGAGCGUUAAUCGGAAUUACUGGGCGUAAAGCGUGCGCAGGCGGUUUUGUAAGACAGGCGUGAAAUCCCCGGGCUUAACCUGGGAACUGCGUUUGUGACUGCAAGGCUAGAGUACGGCAGAGGGGGGUGGAAUUCCACGUGUAGCAGUGAAAUGCGUAGAGAUGUGGAGGAACACCAAUGGCGAAGGCAGCCCCCUGGGUCGAUACUGACGCUCAUGCACGAAAGCGUGGGUAGCAAACAGGAUUAGAUACCCUGGUAGUCCACGCCCUAAACUAUGUCAACUAGGUGUUGGGUGGGUAAAACCAUUUAGUACCGUAGCUAACGCGUGAAGUUGACCGCCUGGGGAGUACGGCCGCAAGGUUAAAACUCAAAGGAAUUGACGGGGACCCGCACAAGCGGUGGAUGAUGUGGAUUAAUUCGAUGCAACGCGAAAAACCUUACCUACCCUUGACAUGCCAGGAACUUGCCAGAGAUGGCUUGGUGCCCGAAAGGGAGCCUGGACACAGGUGCUGCAUGGCUGUCGUCAGCUCGUGUCGUGAGAUGUUGGGUUAAGUCCCGCAACGAGCGCAACCCUUGUCGUUAAUUGCCAUCAUUUAGUUGGGCACUUUAACGAGACUGCCGGUGACAAACCGGAGGAAGGUGGGGAUGACGUCAAGUCCUCAUGGCCCUUAUGGGUAGGGCUUCACACGUCAUACAAUGGUCGGUACAAAGGGUUGCCAAGCCGCGAGGCGGAGCCAAUCCCAGAAAGCCGAUCGUAGUCCGGAUUGCAGGCUGCAACUCGCCUGCAUGAAGUCGGAAUCGCUAGUAAUCGUGGAUCAGCAUGUCACGGUGAAUACGUUCCCGGGUCUUGUACACACCGCCCGUCACACCAUGGGAGCGGGUUCCGCCAGAAGUAGGUAGCCUAACCGCAAGGGGGGCGCUUACCACGGCGGGGUUCGUGACUGGGGUGAAGUCGGAACAAGGUAGCCGUAGGGGAACCUGCGGCUG